rnacentral:rRNA from 1 species
AUUGAACGCUGGCGGCAUGCCUUACACAUGCAAGUCGAACGGUAACAGGUCUUCGGAUGCUGACGAGUGGCGAACGGGUGAGUAAUACAUCGGAACGUGCCUAGUAGUGGGGGAUAACUACUCGAAAGAGUGGCUAAUACCGCAUGAGAUCUACGGAUGAAAGCAGGGGAUCGCAAGACCUUGUGCUACUAGAGCGGCCGAUGGCAGAUUAGGUAGUUGGUGGGAUAAAAGCUUACCAAGCCGACGAUCUGUAGCUGGUCUGAGAGGACGAUCGGCCACACUGGGACGGAGACACGGCCCAGACUCCUACGGGAGGCAGCAGUGGGGAAUUUUGGACAAUGGGCGCAAGCCUGAUCCAGCAAUGCCGCGUGCAGGAUGAAGGCCUUCGGGUUGUAAACUGCUUUUGUACGGAACGAAAAGCCCUGGGUUAAUACCCUGGGGUCAUGACGGUACCGUAAGAAUAAGCACCGGCUAACUACGUGCCAGCCGCCGCGGUAAGAC